AGUGAACGCUGGCGGUAGGCCUAACACAUGCAAGUCGAACGGCAGCACAGUAAGAGCUUGCUCUUACGGGUGGCGAGUGGCGGGCGGGUGAGGAAUACAUCGGAAUCUACUUUUUCGUGGGGGAUAACGUAGGGAAACUUACGCUAAUACCGCAUACGACCUACGGGUGAAAGCAGGGGAUCUUCGGACCUUGCGCGAUUGAAUGAGCCGAUGUCGGAUUAGCUAGUUGGCGGGGUAAAGGCCCACCAAGGCGACGAUCCGUAGCUGGUCUGAGAGGAUGAUCAGCCACACUGGAACUGAGACACGGUCCAGACUCCUACGGGAGGCAGCAGUGGGGAAUAUUGGACAAAGGGCGCAAGCCUGAUCCAGCCAUACCGCGUGGGUGAAGAAGGCCUUCGGGUUGUAAAGCCCUUUUGUUGGGAAAGAAAAGCGGCAGGUUAAUACCCCGCUGUUCUGACGGUACCCAAAGAAUAAGCACCGGCUAACUUCGUG
rnacentral:rRNA from 1 species